UACGGAGGGGGCAAGCGUUGUCCGGAAUCAUUGGGCGUAAAGCGCGUGUAGGCGGCCCGGUAAGUCAGCUGUGAAAGUCGGGGGCUCAACCCUCGGAUGCCGGUGGAUACUGUCGGGCUAGAGUGCGGAAGAGGCGAGUGGAAUUCCUGGUGUAGCGGUGAAAUGCGCAGAUAUCAGGAGGAACACCAAUUGCGAAGGCAGCUCGCUGGGACGUGACUGACGCUGAGACGCGAAAGCGUGGGGAGCAAACAGG
rnacentral:rRNA from 1 species